CAGUAGCCGCGGUAAUACGAAGGGGGCUAGCGUUAAUCGGAAUUACUGGGCGUAAAGCGUGCGCAGGCGGUUUUGUAAGACAGGCGUGAAACCCCCGGGCUCAACCUGGGAAUGGCGCUUGUGACUGCAAAGCUAGAGUGCGGCAGAGGGGGAUGGAAUUCCGCGUGUGGCAGUGAAAUGCGUAGAUAUGCGGAGGAACACCGAUGGCGAAGGCGAUCCCCUGGGCCUGCACUGACGCUCAUGCACGAAAGCGUGGGGAGCAAACAGGAUUAGAGACCCCCGUAGUCCCUGUCUCUUAUAC
rnacentral:rRNA from 1 species